GCUGGGUGGGGUGGCCCAAACCUGUAAUCCCAGCAACUCAGGAGGCUGAGACAGGAGGAUUGUGAGUUCAAAGCCAGCCUCAGUAAUGGUGAGGCACUAAGCAACUCUGUGAGACCCUAUCUCUA
rnacentral:sRNA from 1 species